GGUAUAUAGCUCAGUUAGUAGAGUGCUUGCCUUACAUGCACAAGGCUCUGGGUCCAAUCCCCAGAACCA
rnacentral:tRNA from 1 species